rnacentral:rRNA from 1 species
GACGAACGCUGGCGGCGGGCUUAACACAUGCAAGUCGAACGGAAAGGCCCUGCUUGUGUGGUGUGCUCGAUUGGCGAACGGGUGAGUAACACGUGAGUAACCUGCCCUUGACUUUGGGAUAACUUCAGGAAACUGGGGCUAAUACCGGAUAGGAUCUCCUGCUGCAUGGUGGGGGGGGGAAAGUUGCGGCUGGUGGGAAUGGACUCGCGGCUUAUCAGCUUGUUGGUGGGGUAGUGGCUUACCAAGGGUGUGACGGGUAGCCCGCAGGUGAGGGUGACCGGGCACAUUGGGACUGCGAUACGGACCAGACUCGAACGGGAGACAGCAGUGGGGAAUAUUGCCCAAUGGGAGGAAGCCUGAUGAAGAAGCGCCGCGUGCGGGAUGACGGCCUUCGGGUUGUAAAACGCUUUCGCCUGUGACGCCGCGUGAGUGACGGUAAUGGGUAAAGAAGCACCGGCUAACUACGUG